GAUGUUAGCGGCGGACGGGUGAGUAACACGUGGGUAACCUGCCUGUAAGACUGGGAUAACUCCGGGAAACCGGAGCUAAUACCGGAUAGUUCCUUGAACCGCAUGGUUCAAGGAUGAAAGACGGUUUCGGCUGUCACUUACAGAUGGACCCGCGGCGCAUUAGCUAGUUGGUGAGGUAACGGCUCACCAAGGCGACGAUGCGUAGCCGACCUGAGAGGGUGAUCGGCCACACUGGGACUGAGACACGGCCCAGACUCCUACGGGAGGCAGCAGUAGGGAAUCUUCCGCAAUGGACGAAAGUCUGACGGAGCAACGCCGCGUGAGUGAUGAAGGUUUUCGGAUCGUAAAGCUCUGUUGUUAGGGAAGAACAAGUGCAAGAGUAACUGCUUGCACCUUGACGGUACCUAACCAGAAAGCCACGGCUAACUACGUGCCAGCAGCCGCGGUAAUACGUAGGUGGCAAGCGUUGUCCGGAAUUAUUGGGCGUAAAGGGCUCGCAGGCGGUUUCUUAAGUCUGAUGUGAAAGCCCCCGGCUCAACCGGGGAGGGUCAUUGGAAACUGGGAAACUUGAGUGCAGAAGAGGAGAGUGAAUUCCACGUGUAGCGGUGAAAUGCGUAGAGAUGUGUAGGAACACCAGUGGCGAAGGCGACUCUCUGGUCUGUAACUGACGCUGAGGAGCGAAAGCGUGGGGAGCGAACAGGAUUAGAUACCCUGGUAGUCCACGCCGU
rnacentral:rRNA from 1 species